rnacentral:lncRNA from 1 species
AUUUCAGUAAUUUAGCAUGACUUAAUGAUGAUAGUACCCAAUAAAUGUACAUUGUGUUGUCGAAAACAGCUUAUAUUUAUGUAGCAGAACCAUUCUACUUUUCAAUAAAUAGCUAAAAGAUAACAAUUUCGUAAUUUUGUAAAACUGCUAUAUUUUGGGGCCAAAAAAGGGUCUUACUGAACCUACUACUUUGACCCUAUCUCGUACAUUAUGUUCUGUGGGGGUAUGAACUGAUUUCGUAUUAACAUAACAAUAAGAUUUUGAGAACUUG